rnacentral:rRNA from 1 species
GCUAAACGCGAAGAACCUUACCUGGCCUUGACAUCCAUGGAAUCCCGAAGAGAUUUGGGAGUGCCGCAAGGAACCAUGAGACAGGUGCUGCAUGGCUGUCGUCAGCUCGUGUCGUGAGAUGUUGGGUUAAGUCCCGCAACGAGCGCAACCCUUGUCCUUAGUUGCCAUCAUUAAGUUGGGAACUCUAAGGAGACCGCCGGUGACAAACCGGAGGAAGGUGGGGAUGACGUCAAGUCAUCAUGGCCUUUAUGGCCAGGGCUACACACGUGCUACAAUGGCAGGUACAGAGGGAAGCCAACCGGCAACGGGGAGCCAAUCCCAGAAAGCCUGUCUUAGUCCGGAUUGCAGUCUGCAACUCGACUACAUGAAGUUGGAAUCGCUAGUAAUCGCAAAUCAGCAUGUUGCGGUGAAUACGUUCCCGGGUCUUGUACACACCG